AUUGAACGCUGGCGGCAUGCCUUACACAUGCAAGUCGAACGGUAACAGGUUAAGCUGACGAGUGGCGAACGGGUGAGUAAUAUAUCGGAACGUGCCCAGUCGUGGGGGAUAACGUAGCGAAAACUACGCUAAUACCGCAUACGAUCUACGGAUGAAAGCGGGGGAUCGCAAGACCUCGCGCGAUUGGAGCGGCCGAUAUCAGAUUAGGUUGUUGGUGAGGUAAAGGCUCACCAAGCCUGCGAGCUGUAGCUGGUCUGAGAGGACGACCAGCCACACUGGAACGGAGACACGGUCCAGACGCCUACGGGAGGCAGCAGUGGGGAAUUUUGGACAAUGGACGCAAGUCCGAUCCAGCAAUGCCGCGUGCAGGACGAAGGCCUUCGGGUUGUAAACUGCUUUUGUACGGAACGAAACGGCGAGCUCUAAUACAGUUUGCUAAUGACGGUACCGUAAGAAUAAGCACCGGCUAACUACGUGCCAGCAGCCGCCGUAA
rnacentral:rRNA from 1 species